CCUACGGGUGACAGCAGUGGGGAAUAUUGGGCAAUGGGCGAAAGCCUGACCCAGCAACGCCGCGUGCACGAAGAAGGCUUUCGGGUUGUAAACUUCUUUUGACAGGGAAGAACAUAAGACGGUACCUGUCGAAUCAGCCUCGGCUAACUACGUGCCAGCAGCCGCGGUAAUACGUAGGUGGCAAGCGUUGUCCGGCUUUACUGGGUGGAAAGGGCCUGUCGCCGGGCUGAGAAGUCAGUUGUGAAAUCCUGGGGCUCAAACCCCGAACUGCAUUUGAAACUGUUGGUCUAGAGUAUCGGAGAGGCAGGCGGAAUUCCUAGUGCAGCGGUGAAAUGCGUAGAUAUAAGGAGGAACACCAGUGGCGAAGGCGGCCUGCUGGACGACAACUGACGGUGAGGGGCGAAAGCGUGGGGAGCAAACAGGAUUAGAUACCCCUGUAGUC
rnacentral:rRNA from 1 species